rnacentral:rRNA from 1 species
UCGCGGCCUAUCAGCUUGUUGGUGGGGUAAUGGCCUACCAAGGCGACGACGGGUAGCCGGCCUGAGAGGGUGACCGGCCACACUGGGACUGAGACACGGCCCAGACUCCUACGGGAGGCAGCAGUGGGGAAUAUUGCACAAUGGGCGCAAGCCUGAUGCAGCGACGCCGCGUGAGGGAUGAAGGCCUUCGGGUUGUAAACCUCUUUCAGUAGGGAAGAAGCCGCUCCUUUUUGGGGGUGGUGACGGUACCUGCAGAAGAAGCGCCGGCUAACUACGUGCCAGCAGCCGCGGUAAUACGUAGGGCGCAAGCGUUAUCCGGAAUUAUUGGGCGUAAAGAGCUCGUAGGCGGUUUGUCGCGUCUGCCGUGAAAGUCCGGGGCUUAACUCCGGAUCUGCGGUGGGUACGGGCAGACUAGAGUGCAGUAGGGGAGACUGGAAUUCCUGGUGUAGCGGUGAAAUGCGCAGAUAUCAGGAGGAACACCGAUGGCGAAGGCAGGUCUCUGGGCUGUAACUGACGCUGAGGAGCGAAAGCAUGGGGAGCGAACAGGAUUAGAUACCCUGGUAGUCCAUGCCGUAAACGUUGGGCACUAGGUGUGGGGGACAGUCCACGUUUUCCGCGCCGUAGCUAACGCAUUAAGUGCCCCGCCUGGGGAGUAC